rnacentral:lncRNA from 1 species
GGAAUAAGAAGCUUCCACAAUCCAUUGCUUCAGUCACCACCUCCAGUAACAUUAAGUAAAGCAGAAAUGUUUGGGAGCAUGAGAGAGCAUAUGGUAAAAGCUUACCCUCUCUGUCUCCCUGUUUACAUUUCAGUGUUCUGAAAAAGCAAUUAUUUAUUUAAAAUCCUGAAACAAGAAAAAUUUUUUUUUAAUCUUUGCAUUUGCACUUGAUUGCAAACUCCUAUUGAAGAUUUUUAUAUGAAUAGAGCAUCUGCUGGAUAUCCUGUCCAGAUGGAAUCUCCAGUAAAGGACAUACUCAUCUCUAUCAUUCUUGUCAGCAAGUAACCAGAAGGAAGAGAUUUAUAAAGCAGAUGUCAGAAUGUCAAAUCUGCCUUCAGCUGAUUUUCUGUAAGUUUAUUAUCAUAUGAACUACUGUGUUCAAGGAUAUAUAAAAAAGCCCAAAGUUUUGUUUGC